rnacentral:sRNA from 1 species
GGGGGGGGGUUACCCAACUCCUACCCCCUAUCUAAUCACCCAACGGCUUGGCUCCGAAGGGUGGUGAGGCUAGUAGGGGGCAGCCUCAGUCCUACCCACAAGCUAGCCAGAGCCUGGACUACUACUACCAAGCCUUGGUUGGCGUUCUAAUCAACUUACCUCUUCAUCCUCACCAAGCCAAUGCUUUAACAAGAGGCCCUCGAUAGGGACAAAAACUUACUCCCUGAACAUCAAGAGCAAGGCUGGGCACGGGAAACAACAAGAGGGAUAGGAGGAGAUGUAAGGAGUGUCUGAUUGCAGGGUGACAGUCCUCUGUGACAGUGAGGUAUGCGCGUAGUCUUGCCUAGCCGACAAGCAAGGGCUAGUGCUGGGAGAUCCUUCCACUGGUAAACCUUAGGCAAGGGCCCAACAUCCCCGAGAAACCAUUAGCACUAACCAUCGGGAGAAGUAGAGAGCAGAAGACAUGACAUGGGGAUGUUCUAGAAUAGCUACAGAUCUAGUAGGGGGGACAUGUGCCAUAUGGACGACACUGUAGGCUGCCAGCCCAGCCCAGCUCAAUCCUUUCCAAUCCAAUCUCUUCUGCUCCACUAGCAGGGGCCAGGGCCAAGUCCCGGGGCUUCCUGCUCUUGGGCAUCAGCUGCUGGCUCUCCCUCCCAAUGUGGUCUCCAUACAGGCUCCUGGGUAGCAAACCCCAGGAGCCAACCCAGGAACAUCCCAGUAUGGCUUCUUGUAGGACCCCAUAUGUGUCUACCUGUGGGGUGUCCCGACUGCUAUCACAUUCCAACGAGGAGGGGUCAUCCCCUCAGUGAGCCUCUGGUCAGGAGCUGAGCCUGCGGUUCAGCUCCACUAAGACCCCAGGGAUGUGCUUCCUUAUGAGUCUCUGCCAGGGGUGUGACCCAUCCGAGGUAUCCUUAAACAUAGUAUGAAUGGCUUUGGGAAGUGAACAGUCUUCCAGAUAGGUCUAAAGUACUUCCUCCCGCCAUGAGUUUUCUCAGAGGAGCCUGGGCAUAUUCCAGGUUGGGCAGGGCCUACAAAGGAGCCGACCUUGAGGACCUUCUCCAACCCAAGGUGACACAUGCCCUCCUACACCACCCCUGACUGGUCUGAGCAGCCAAGGGAGGGAGGUGGUGGAGCUGCCUGGACUUGCCGCCCCGCCCUCCUGGAGUUCUCAGCCCCGCCCUCCUGGGGUUCUCAACUCGCAGCCCGGAAGUGGGUCCCUCUCCCCUGGCUGCUUCAGUCUCCCCUUCUGCUUUAGCCUCCUCUUUGGGUAGCUGGACUCGCUGGACGGCUGGAUAAUCCAAAAUAAUUCCUCCUUGGCAGGCAGCCCGUGGGGGAGAGGGGAACUCACAUUCCAAACUCUUGUUUUUCUAACUAACUUCCCUCAGUUCCUGGGGCUAGAAACCUCUGCCCAGUCCUCGGGCCUCCCCACUUCCAUGGGAGGUUGUGCGAGACUUGGUGGCUGAAACUCUGUAGUCUACCUGGUUAUUUAGUCUAGCAGCUUCGAUACAAUACAAUAAGGUUUGGCACAUUCCACAAAACAACUCACGCGUUGGCCCUACCUUCCUAGGAACUUCACCUCCUGACCAAAGAGCAAGGACUCAGGCCAUUGGCAGUCCAACUUUCUGAUUACAUUCCCUAUGUACCAAGAUAGCAUCCGGAUGUGGGAUCGAGCUGACAGCUUCCACCUUCAAGGCGUGUGUGAGCAGUCUGAGAAGUUCAACUUUAAAACCACCAAUACAGACUGAAGAGAGACGUUAGAGGGGGCACUCCCCAAGGCAAAUGAGGGCCCUGAGGGCCUCCGCUCCUCAGAACGCGACACUGGCUUUGAGACCUGGUUUCAGCUACAGUUCUGACCAGCACCACCAUGGUGGCCACAAUCCGACCUCCCUUCCUGCCUUCUUCAAGGAACUAGAAAAAGGAAUUAAGUGACGUGGCCAGAAACUCUAGGAUUCUUAGGCUCAGAAGCCCCCAGAUAGGGAGAAAAGACCCACCCCCACACAAAUCUGUCACACAGUCAGACCAGAGGAAGCAUGAGAGCUCACUGAAGAAGGUAUGUGGAAGUGAAGUAGACUGUGAAAAGGCACCUACAAGUUCUAAGCCCUCUGUAUCUUAGGUGUCUCUCCAAACACAACAACAAACUACACUAGAAACUUGCAGAGGAAACCUUGUCGGGAGGCGUGGGGCCUCACCAGGUACUACUGGGUGUUGGUUCUCUCUGUCUCUUGUUCCCUGUCCCAGAAGGUGUGGGGACUGCUUUGGUUGGGCACCCCUGUAAAAAGCCCCAGCAGAGCCCAGCGUCGGAACAGGCUUAGCUUGAGAACUGGGGCCUGGAGGUCCGGCACGACAGAUGACUAGCUCUGGUCCAUCGUUUCGGCGGUGAAGAGCCGCUCAGUCUCCUUACUGAAUGUUCUCAUAGCUGGAACUCUGCCUCACUGCUCUCCUUCCCGGUCCCCUGGCCUCACGUAUCUAGGUCUUACCGGCCUCCAAGUCUUCAAUGUCUAUAGGGCAUCUCCUCCCCAGCUUUGGGAAUCUGCCUCAAUUCUAUGCCCUCCCCAACUUGAAAACUUCACAAAUCUGAGGACUUCACUGUUUAAGGAAGUUGAACUUGCCCCAUCUCUAAGCAGCCAAGCUUGAAUGAAUCACCUUCUCCCCUCCACCAGCAACACUUCCCCACCCACCCACACACAUACAAGGGACUCCAAAAUAUCCAGUGAUUUCAACACUACCCCCCAACACACACACACACACAAAACUCCAAAAUAUCCAGUAACAGGGGCUGCAAACUUUGUAUCAAAAAUAUUAAAAGACAAGUAUUGUAUAACAAAGAUAUUUUAAUAACAAAGUUGUGGGAAGGCCAGUAUUCUGAAAUGAGUAGGGCUCAAAAUAGAAGGCAGGAAGCUGGAGGGUAAAAGAGUCCUCCUAUCCUUCCGGUCUGUCCCAGGGGCUGGCUGCCUCAUGACCUCCACCCAACCCUCCUAGAUCCCCUGAAUGCUGGCUCACUGCUCUCUCCAACUUGCCACACAAGGGAGCUCUGGGGAUCACAGCCUCCAGGAUUAGUUUUUCACUAUCCAGGCAUCUAAACUGUAAGGGCCCUUUGGGUUGGGGGAGGGGAGCACCUUUUUGGAGCCAUCUGUCUCUUCUUCCCUCCAGGCUCUCUGCCCUUGGCAGGGAUGGGAAGAGAUGGGCUUAAGCCUACUUUGGACAGAAGCUCCGCUAACUCCGCUGAGCCCAUCCUGGGAGUGCAGGAGUGGGAAAGGAUAUAGCUGGUAGAAGGCCCCAGGCCGUACACUCUACCAAGUAACCUGGACAAGCCCCUCAAGGACACUGGAACUUUCCUCAUUCCUACGUAUCAGCCUUGGGUUCAUGUUCUAGGCAGCACUGUUAUACAUAGCCUUCUCCCCUCCUCUGCCCCAAAUCUGUCUGCUGAUUCCCAUGUCCAGAGGAUGACCAACUAACUGUCACGGCAGAAGCUGGUUAUGGUGGCCGAGGUCCAUGAGGGCCACCCUGAAGGUUAUUGUGUGACAGUUUUCAGAAAGUCAAGUGGAGACCACAAGAAACACAUUGCAGUGGUAUUUGAGAUGUGCAUUUUAGGAUGGAGCCGCUGAGACCAAGGGGGCUUAGACCUGGCCACUGUGCACUUGGAUAGGAGGGUGGGCACACCCAAGGCACAGUCCCCACAGCCUGGGAGCUCCAGCUGUCACAGUGGAUGGUGCCAUGUUUCUGAAGAUCCCUUAGAGACCAGGCUCUUGGUGGUGAGGCUGGCACCUCUGUUCCAGGGAGUGCGAACACCUUUCUUCCUAAUGACAAGGUCUCCACUUCAACCUGCUUUUGCUCAGUUUUCUGUCUACAUCCUUGGAUACUGCAUUAGACUGACCUAGAUGACUAUGUACCUUCGUGUAUCUAUCUGGUCCGUUUGCUCGCCUGUAGAGUGGAUACAGUGUGACAAGCUGUCAUAGGCUAAGGUCAGGGGUAAACAACUGAACC